rnacentral:rRNA from 1 species
CCUACGGGAGGCAGCAGUGGGGGAUAUUGCACAAUGGGGGAGACCCUGAUGCAGCGAAGCCGCGUGAGGGAAGAAGGAUUUCGGGAUGGAAAGCUCUAUCAGCAGGGGAGAAAAUGACAGUACCUGACCAAGAAGCCCCGGCUAACUACGUGACAGCAGCCGCGGUACUACGUAGGGGGCAAGCGUUAUCCGGAGUUAGUGGGUGUAAAGGGAGCGUAGACGGUUAUGUAAGUCUGGAGUGAAAGCACGGGGCCCAACCCCGGGAUUGCUUUGGAAACUGUGUAACUGGAGUACAGGAGGGGCAGGCGGAAUUCCUGGUGUAGCGGUGAAAUGCGUAGAUAUCAGGAGGAACACCGGCGGCGAAGGCGGCCUGCUGGACUGAAACUGACGUUGAGGCUCGAAAGCGUGGGGAGCAAACAGGAUUAGAUACCCGAGUAGUC